GAGAGUCCCUGAGUCCUCUGUAUUAGGAGGGAGAGAGGGGGCGCCAAAGUGACUUUUGUCUUCUCUUUCUUGGGAAUAGGCUGAAUAAUUACGCGCGUCCAGAAAAGGAGGGGAAGAGGAGGCGGGCAGCUUUGAGACGAGGCUGGCGGCAUCCAGUGAGUGCAAGCCCUGCACGAUGGAAUUGGGUCCACAAGGCAAGGAAGGUGGUAGAGCAAGAUUUUAACCUGGGAUCCAUGUAUUCGCCAGACUCACCACGGUCUCCUCAGCUUAGGGUCUGUGAGCCCCUGAAACUGGGUAAGUUUUUUGUGGGUUCACACAAACAUUUGCAUGUGUGUUGGGGGAUAUCUCCAUAGCUUGCAAGAUUUCCUUAUAAAAGAUUAAACAUCACCACUUAGGGAAA
rnacentral:lncRNA from 1 species